GACAGAGGAUGCAAGCGUUAUCCGGAAUGAUUGGGCGUAAAGCGUCUGUAGGUGGUUCAGCAAGUUGAAUGUGAAAGCCCCGGGCUCAACCUGGGAACUGCAUCCAAAACUACUGAGCUAGAGUACGGUAGAGGGUAGUGGAAUUUCCUGUGUAGCGGUGAAAUGCGUAGAUAUAGGAAGGAACACCAGUGGCGAAGGCGACUACCUGGACUGAUACUGACACUGAGGUGCGAAAGCGUGGGGAGCAAACAGC
rnacentral:rRNA from 1 species